rnacentral:rRNA from 1 species
GAGCGCAGACGGUUACUUAAGCAGGAUGUGAAAUCCCCGGGCUCAACCUGGGAACUGCGUUCUGAACUGGGUGACUAGAGUGUGUCAGAGGGAGGUAGAAUUCCACGUGUAGCAGUGAAAUGCGUAGAGAUGUGGAGGAAUACCGAUGGCGAAGGCAGCCUCCUGGGAUAACACUGACGUUCAUGCUCGAAAGCGUGGGUAGCAAACAGGAUUAGAUACCCUGGUAGUCCACGCCCUAAACGAUGUCAAUUAGCUGUUGGGCAACUUGAUUGCUUAGUAGCGUAGCUAACGCGUGAAAUUGACCGCCUGGGGAGUACGGUCGCAAGAUUAAAACUCAAAGGAAUUGACGGGGACCCGCACAAGCGGUGGAUGAUGUGGAUUAAUUCGAUGCAACGCGAAGAACCUUACCUGGUCUUGACAUGUACGGAAUCCUCCAGAGACGGAGGAGUGCCUUCGGGAACCGUAACACAGGUGCUGCAUGGCUGUCGUCAGCUCGUGUCGUGAG